GAUGAGCCAAAAUUGGCACCUUGUCUUUAAAUAAGGUGCAAAAUGAUUUUAACUGAAGAGUUUGAUCAUGGCUCAGAUUGAACGCUGGCGGCAGGCUUAACACAUGCAAGUCGAGCGGAGAGAGGUAGCUUGCUACUGAUCUUAGCGGCGGACGGGUGAGUAAUGCUUAGGAAUCUGCCUAUUAGUGGGGGACAACAUUUCGAAAGGAAUGCUAAUACCGCAUACGUCCUACGGGAGAAAGCAGGGGAUCUUCGGACCUUGCGCUAAUAGAUGAGCCUAAGUCGGAUUAGCUAGUUGGUGGGGUAAAGGCCUACCAAGGCGACGAUCUGUAGCGGGUCUGAGAGGAUGAUCCGCCACACUGGGACUGAGACACGGCCCAGACUCCUACGGGAGGCAGCAGUGGGGAAUAUUGGACAAUGGGCGCAAGCCUGAUCCAGCCAUGCCGCGUGUGUGAAGAAGGCCUUAUGGUUGUAAAGCACUUUAAGCGAGGAGGAGGCUACUUUAGUUAAUACCUAGAGAUAGUGGACGUUACUCGCAGAAUAAGCACCGGCUAACUCUGUGCCAGCAGCCGCGGUAAUACAGAGGGUGCAAGCGUUAAUCGGAUUUACUGGGCGUAAAGCGCGCGUAGGCGGCUAAUUAAGUCAAAUGUGAAAUCCCCGAGCUUAACUUGGGAAUUGCAUUCGAUACUGGUUAGCUAGAGUGUGGGAGAGGAUGGUAGAAUUCCAGGUGUAGCGGUGAAAUGCGUAGAGAUCUGGAGGAAUACCGAUGGCGAAGGCAGCCAUCUGGCCUAACACUGACGCUGAGGUGCGAAAGCAUGGGGAGCAAACAGGAUUAGAUACCCUGGUAGUCCAUGCCGUAAACGAUGUCUACUAGCCGUUGGGGCCUUUGAGGCUUUAGUGGCGCAGCUAACGCGAUAAGUAGACCGCCUGGGGAGUACGGUCGCAAGACUAAAACUCAAAUGAAUUGACGGGGGCCCGCACAAGCGGUGGAGCAUGUGGUUUAAUUCGAUGCAACGCGAAGAACCUUACCUGGCCUUGACAUAGUAAGAACUUUCCAGAGAUGGAUUGGUGCCUUCGGGAACUUACAUACAGGUGCUGCAUGGCUGUCGUCAGCUCGUGUCGUGAGAUGUUGGGUUAAGUCCCGCAACGAGCGCAACCCUUUUCCUUAUUUGCCAGCGAGUAAUGUCGGGAACUUUAAGGAUACUGCCAGUGACAAACUGGAGGAAGGCGGGGACGACGUCAAGUCAUCAUGGCCCUUACGGCCAGGGCUACACACGUGCUACAAUGGUCGGUACAAAGGGUUGCUACCUAGCGAUAGGAUGCUAAUCUCAAAAAGCCGAUCGUAGUCCGGAUUGGAGUCUGCAACUCGACUCCAUGAAGUCGGAAUCGCUAGUAAUCGCGGAUCAGAAUGCCGCGGUGAAUACGUUCCCGGGCCUUGUACACACCGCCCGUCACACCAUGGGAGUUUGUUGCACCAGAAGUAGCUAGCCUAACUGCAAAGAGGGCGGUUACCACGGUGUGGCCGAUGACUGGGGUGAAGUCGUAACAAGGUAGCCGUAGGGGAACCUGCGGCUGGAUCACCUCCUUAA
rnacentral:rRNA from 1 species